UGGGGGAAGAAACUUUGCAUCUUCCACUGUUUGAGUCAAAGGAAGCAAGAGGAAGGAAUAUGUACAAGCUAUUUGCUUUAACAGUGUUCGUACGUAUUUGCUUAAUAUGCCAAGUAGAGGUGAAACUGGGAGAUUGGCAUGGAUGCUCAUGUUCUUAGCUGAGCUCUGUUUUGGUUUCUACUGGAUUAUUACUCAAUCGGCUCGUUGGCAUGUUAUAUAUCAGUAUCCUUUCAAGGAUAGACUUUCCCUCAGAUAUAAGGAGAAGUUGCCGGGCGUGGACAUAUUCGUUUGAACAGCAGAUCCAAUAAUGGAAACUCCAACACUAGUGAUUAACACAGUAUUGUCAGUAAUGUCAUAUAAUUAUCCUCCUGAAAAUUUGAGUGUUUAUCUUUCUGAUGAUGGAGCUUCAGAAUAUACUUUUUAUGCUCUUCUUGAGGCCUCUCAAUUCUCAAGAUAUUGGAUACCUUUUUGCAAGAGAUUCAGUAUGGAGCUUAGGUCCCCUGCUGCCUACUUUGAACAUGAUGCCUGCAAUUUAAAUGAUUUAAGUUUUUGCUCAACAGUGGUUCAAUACCAUGGUGAGAAAGUAGCCUUUUUUUGAAAAUUGAAAACUACUCUUUGAGGUGACAAAUAUGAGAGUUGAGUCCAAAUAUUGACAUAACGGAUAAUAACAAAUCAAAUUAACAAAUAAGUCAUGACUCAAUCUGCUAAAGUGUGCUAAGAGUAAAAUGAAUUAAAUCAAGAUAGGUCAAAUGAUGCAGAAUUAUCAUCCACUGGCCACUUUUCCGCCCUAUCUUUAAAAAAUAGUAAAUGUCGUGAAUUUUACCCUCAAAUAAACUUUUUUAAUGGGUCAUAAUUCAAUUUGUCCGCCAUGAGCUAACCUCCAUCUUCUAUUUUGCUUUUUGGGAAAAAGUGAACCAAUGUAUUUUCUAGUGCAAGUUAUAUGUCAAACUUACAUAAUUUCCAAUCUCCCCAUUUGAUUUUUUAUGUUUGGGUUUUGGUUACAGUUUGAUAUUUGAGUUAGCAUUUUAUGAAUCAAUAGCUUGAUGAACGUUUUCAAUCCCAUUGGGUCAAGUCAAUGGACGAGUAAUAACUCAGCUCAUUUAGCUUUGGAAAUUAUAUGAAGAUAUGAAAACCAGGUUGAAGCCGCCAUAGAAAGCGGUAGCAUCCCCAAUGAAAUUAAGGCUUAGCAUAAAUGGUUCUCAAGAGUGGAACUGUAAAGUUUACAAAGCAAGAUCACCAGUCUAUUGUUCAGGUAAUUGCUGGUUUAUUUAUAUUCUUUUGUUACUCUUGACAAUUAUUAAAGUCGAAACCGCCAAAUCUCAACAUACAAACAUGAUCAUUAAUUCACAAAACACCCUCAGAAUCUAGAGAUGUUAUCUUCACCUAACCACUUAACACUUUAUCAUGAAUCAUCCUAAAAUUCUAAUCAUCAAACUCUUGAGCUUGAAUUUGAUCCAUCAAUAAAGAUCUAGCCUCAAUUUACGCUAAGGCAUGCUCAGAUGUCAUAAAUAUCAAGUCGAACCAACUGUUUAGUCAAAGACUGAACAUCCAAGGCUAAAGGUUGCACCCCUGCCGAUAGAUGAGCCAAACUUCCCAUACUUGAUGCCUUCCAACUCAAGGCAUCCGUUACCAUAUUAGCCUUACCCGAAUAAUAAAGAAUAGUGAGAUCAUAAUACUUAUUCAACUAUAACCAUCUAUGCUGCCUCAUAUUAAGAUCUCUUUGGGUGGAGAAAUACUGAAGGGUAUGAUGAUCGGAGAAAAUCUCAAAAUGAAUUCCAUACAAGUAGUGUCGUCAUAAAUUUAACACAAACACAACUUUAGUUAACUCCAAAGUCAUGAGUAGGAUAGUUCUUUUCAUGGACCUUCAACUAUGGAGAAAAAUAAGAAAUCACCUUACCCUUCCACAUCAACACACCGCCAUAACCAACUCUAUAAGCAUCACAAAACACGAUGAAACCCAUGCCCUCCUCAGACAAAGUCAAGAUAGGAGCUAAAGUUAAUAACUCUUUUAGCCUUAGAAAGAUCCUCUCCCAAUCAUCCGACAACUAAGAAAUAAUCUUCUUUUGAGUCAACUUGGUCAAAAGAGUUGUAAUAGAAUAGAAUCCCUGCACAAACCAUUGGUAAUAGCCUGCUACCCCAACAAAACUCCAAAUCUCAAUAGGAGAAGUAGGUCUAGCUCUGUCAUGAAUUGCUUCUACCUUGGAAGAUUGACCAUAAUACAACCCUUGUUCACGACAUGACCUAAAAAGGAAACAAAAUCCAAUUUAAACUCGCACGUGAAGAACUUCGCAUACAAAUUCUCAUAUCUUAGUCUCUGAAGUACGACCCUUAAAUGCCUCACAUGGUUAGUCUCAUUCUUGGAGAAACCAAGAUAUCAUUGAUGAACAUAAUCACAAAAGAAUCAAGAUAAGGCAUGAAUACUUUGUUCAUUAACUCUGUGAACAUUACUGAGGCAUUAGUGUCACGACCCAGCCCACCGAGUCAUGUCGAGCACUUGUCUAUACCUACCCCAGAUAGUAGAACCCCGAACAACGCACCAUUCAAUCAUUGCGCAAGUUACUACAAUAUUUACUUAGUCAAUUUAUGUCAAUCAUAUGAAUAACUAAUCAAUAUUUUCAAAUAUGAUUACCUAGUUAGAUUUGUUCCACAACCAGUUUAAAUACAUUUGAUACAUAAAAUAAACAUGGAAAAUAUCUACAAGAGACUUUCAGAACCUAGCUUAAACCAAUACAAGAGCACUAGACAAGGAGUAGGAACAUCCAUGACAUAACAUCCAUGCAAAAUGGAGAGGGCAGGAGCUGUUGUAGAGCAGUCGGUGUAUCUGCUAAAGAAAAUCCAACUAACCUACACCAUGACUAUACCCCCAAUUACCGGUAUAAAAAGUAUAAUAUAAGUACAAACCACAUGUACUAGUAGGUAUCAUCGACUGAACGAGGUUAAAAACAAAUAAUAAUAAUAACAAAUAGGAAAGAAGCAUGACUUAACUUUAAUUUCUAUUACUAAAGCACGUUCACAUAAGUAUUACUACUUAUAUUUAGUCUCUCUAUGAACCACCUAGCAUUUAUAACUUUUAUGUAUACUUAUUCUUAGAUAAUCCAAUCUAUCUUACAAUGUUCUUUUAGCAUAUGUAAACCUGUCUCUAUCCUAGCAGCGCUAGCCCUACAUGUUUUGCUCCAUCAUUAAAUAUCAGGAUUAUAACAACUAAGACAAAUGAUAGUAUCAAUAACUAUAUUAGAAAGGCAUCACAAUAAACAUCAUCUGUACAACUAUAUACAUACAAAAAUAUGAAUUAUACAUAAUUUAGGAUAUACCUUAUAUUCACACUUGGAUACAAUGUCCAAUCACAACCAUCAACAUAACUGAUCCAUUCAAGGGACCACAGUAUCUUAUCAAAUGCCCAAUCCACAUAAGAAACCACUAUAUAUCAUCAGCAUAACUUGGUCCAUGCAAGAAACCACCAAUAACAUAUAAAUCAAAAUGCACAUUCCAUGCAUAUGAAUGAAUAUAUGUAUGCAAUUAUGCAUAAUUCUCUUCCUUUCUUAACUCAUCCACAACAUCAUAGUAUGGUACCCGAUCCAUCAUGACAAAAAUAUCAUAUUCGUAUGAUGUGGUAUCCGAUCCAUUGUUACCAACAUAUCAUAUCCAUUUUGGUGUUUUCAUGACCCCAGACAAUCGCUAGUCGUAACACGGUGCUUAAGGAACAAGUGACCCCAAGCUAACCCAUGAUCUGGAACAAGUUAUAAAUACCAAAGAAAAAUAAAAAAUACCAUGCGGAAGUCAUCUAAUAAAUGUUUAAAUAGUCAAUUAAAUAACAAAGAAGUUUGAAACACAUCACAAAAAUAUAACUAGCUGUUUGAUUGUUUGAAAUCCUCUAAACAUGAUGAGUUGUUGGGAUAGGUCCCCAACUACCUCUGGCUACUAAAUUAAUCAUGAAUUGAAAUAUAGAAAGCAUGAUAAAUAAUAUAAUUAGUCAUCUACUGAUGAGGACUCAUCAAUGUUGUAGCUGAGUGGCACAUGAGCUGUCUAAGUAUGAUCGAGGAGUUGAGUGUUCGAACCUAUUUUAUAAGACAUUAUAGCUCAAAAGAAAGUAUGCGGUCAAUACUUUGAAUGUACUGGUAUGUAAGAUAAAGACUAUAUAAUAUACAUAUAUACAAAUCAUGAAUGCAUGAAUAUGAUAUCGAAUGCAAGACCAUGUGUAAACAUGUACUGAAAUGAUUUGAAUAACUGAAUAACUAAUAUAUGGAUACCUGGUCAUGGAAACUUAAACUAAUAUGAUCUAAAUACUAAACUAAAACUGUGGGAGCUAUCAUAUAACCCAUAUUUCCUAAUAUGAGCUAAUUGGGGUCCAACCUAUAACCCUAGUUAGAAGGGUGUCAAUACCUUACCACAGGUACCAACACUGGCUGUGGAUCCACUAAACUAGUGUCCCAAAGGACUAGGGUGUUAGUACUACACUGGCAGGUGACCCCUAAGAGAGUAUCAAUCCUCAACUAGCGAGUGACCUCUGAUAACCUACGCUGGCUACCUAUUUCUGGAACUUAGGUACUUCCACCAAUGGUCUCAGUCCUCUACUAGUGGGUAAGCCUUUAUUCCUAGGUUAGCUCAGUGCUAAGACCUACUCCAAACUGAACUGAUAUUGAUACUGAUGAAAGGAUUAACAUGACUGAUGCUUACAUAUGCUCAACUUGAUAGUAUUCUGAAUACUGAUGAAAGGCUUAACAUGACUGAUGCUAACAUAUGCUUAACUUGAUAGUAUUCUGAAUUUAAUGAUAUAAGUAUGUUCUGAAUGACUUAUAACUUGACAUAUGACACAUAUAUGAAUAGAAUAUCUAGGUAUCGGGUGUUAAUAACCCACCAGAACUAUCUAAUGUAGAUUGAUCUUGACAAAUAUUGAACAAUCCAUGGUAUGGGAAAAAUCAUAAUUAACACCCAAUAUUUCAAUAAUUAGGCAUGAUGUAGAAAUUUGCAUUAUCAAAAAAUAUGGAAGCAAUUAUCAUGAGGGAAGAUAUUUUCAUGGAGGAACUUAAGAGUUUAACUAAAUAAAUUAUGAAUUUCAUACUUCUCAUGGAACCCUAGACAAAAAGGGAAUUAAACUUGAGAAUUUGGAGAACAUUGGGACUCAAUAGGUGAAAGUGAUGACGUCCAAACUACACCACCUCUCAGAAGUUGUUAUGAUCACUAUCAAAAUAUAGUAACCCAAUGAAAGUUGGGGUCGAAUCCCAAAGGAACAUAUGGAAUCGUGGAUCUUAGCUUUUGUAGUCAACAGCCAGAAUUGGAAAAGUAAAUGAGGGGAUUUUGUGUAGUAAUCUCAAUCAAGUAACUACAUUAACUUUGGUUGUAAUCAGUCGUAAGUGAACACUAGGAUUGUGUUCCCCCUGGAUUUUCAAAUCCGUAGUCUUAUCGUGCUUUGUUGAACCAACCCGAAACUUUGCAUGCAGGAUCGAUAAGUUAAGUACCUUCUAUAGUCUUUUGGACGAGCAGAAGGAUUUCACCCUUUACCUUUUGAGUCUUAGGAUGUCACCUUACUAACUCUUAUCUUGAUCCCUAU